UACGGAGGGUGCGAGCGUUGUCCGGAAUCACUGGGCGUAAAGGGCGCGUAGGCGGCCCUGGCAGUCGGUGGUGAAAGCCCGUGGCUCAACUGCGGGUCGGCCACCGAUACUCCAGGGCUCGAGUUUUGGUAGAGGCAGAUGGAAUUCCGGGUGUAGCGGUGGAAUGCGUAGAGAUCCGGAAGAACACCGGUGGCGAAGGCGGUCUGCUGGGCCAAGACUGACGCUGAGGCGCGACAGCGGUGGGGGAGCAAACAGGAUUAGAAACCCGGGG
rnacentral:rRNA from 1 species